rnacentral:rRNA from 1 species
GAGCGAACGUUAGCGGCACGCUUAACACAUGCAAGUCGCACGAGAGUGGAGCAAUCCAUGAAAGUGGCGCACGGGUGCGUAACACGUAGAUAAUCUGCCCUAAAGAGGGGGAUAACGUUCCGAAAGGAGCGCUAAUACCGCAUACAGCAGUUCCUGGUUCGCUAGGGAUUGGCAAAGGCUGGGAUCGCAAGACCAGUCGCUUUAGGAGGAGUCUGCGGCCCAUCAGCUAGUUGGUAAGGUAAUGGCUUACCAAGGCAGAGACGGGUAGCUGGUCUGAGAGGAUGAUCAGCCACACUGGUACUGGAACACGGACCAGACUCCUACGGGAGGCAGCAGUGGGGAAUCUUGGUCAAUGGGCGAAAGCCUGAACCAGCGAUGCCGCGUGAGUGAUGAAGGCCUUCGGGUUGUAAAGCUCUGUGGGGCGAGACGAAAGCCUACGUUCUAACAGGACGUAGUUUGACGGUAUCGCCUUAGCAAGCACCGGCUAACUCUGUGCCAGCAGCCGCGGUAAGACAGAGGGUGCAAACGUUGCUCGGAAUCACUGGGCGUAAAGGGCGCGUAGGCGGACAAGUAAGUCGGGCGUGAAAUCCCUAGGCUCAACCUAGGAACUGCACUCGAAACUGCAUGUCUUGAGUACCGGAGAGGAAAGCGGAAUACCUGGUGUAGAGGUGAAAUUCGUAGAUAUCAGGUGGAACACCAGUGGCGAAGGCGGCUUUCUGGACGGUAACUGACGCUGAGGCGCGAAAGCGUGGGGAGCAAACAGGAUUAGAUACCCUGGUAGUCCACGCUGUAAACGAUGAGCGCUAGGUGUCGUGGGUAUUGACCCCCGCGGUGCCGAAGCUAACG